GACGAACGCUGGCGGCGUGCUUAACACAUGCAAGUCGAACGGAGUGGCGAACGGGUGAGUAACACGUGGGUGACCUGCCCUGCACUUCGGCAUUAGCCUGGGAAACUGGGUCUAAUACCGGAUAGUGUGGGAUGGGCUCGCGGACGACUAGCUUGUUGGUGGGGUAAGGGCCUCCCAAGGCGGGGACGGGUAGCCGGCCUGAGAGGGUGGACGGCCACAAGGGGACUGGGACACGGCGCAGAAGAGUACGGGAGGCAGCGGUGGGGAAUAUGGCACAAGGGGCGGAAGCCUGAUGAAGCGACGCCGCGUGGGGGAUGACGGCUUUCGGGUUGUAAACUCCUUUCACCAUCGACGCGGUAGAUGGAGAAGAAGCACCGGCUAACUACGUGCCAGCAGCCGCGGUAAUAC
rnacentral:rRNA from 1 species